UUUGCCAUCGUAAUGUCCUUGCAACAUGGCAACAGUCUGUUCCCGAAUCAGAGAAAUCAUGGUGGGUAACAAUGGUUGUGGAUGAAAUGAAUAGUCGGGGUUAUGGGAAACCCGAGAUGGCCACUUGGUUCUUCCCAGCUCCCUGGCAAACCCCAUUUUCCUUUCUUUCUUGCUUUCUUUUUUUUUUUUUUUUUUUUGCACUCUCACCCACCACAGAGCAAUUAAGAUGACUCAAAUUGCAAAUAAACAUUUGUGGGGAGGCUUCUCCAAAAAUGUAAAAACAGCUUACCACCAGUGCCUGGCCUGUCAGGUCCACCAUACUGGUCAAACUAUUUUUGUUCCCAGGUUCCAAACCUCUUCCCGCUGGACCUUUUGGGUAUCUGGCCAUGA